GGUGGUGCAGGCAGGAGAGCC
rnacentral:miRNA from 1 species